rnacentral:rRNA from 1 species
GACGAACGCUGGCGGCGUGCUUAACACAUGCAAGUCGAACGGAAAGGCCCUGCUUUUGUGGGGUGCUCGAGUGGCGAACGGGUGAGUAACACGUGAGUAACCUGCCCUUGACUUUGGGAUAACUUCAGGAAACUGGGGCUAAUACCGGAUAGGAUCUCCUGCUGCAUGGUGGGGGUUGGAAAGUUUCGGCGGUUGGGGAUGGACUCGCGGCUUAUCAGCUUGUUUGUGGGGUAGUGGCUUACCAAGGCUUUGACGGGUAGCCGGCCUGAGAGGGUGACCGGCCACAUUGGGACUGAGAUACGGACCAGACUCCUACGGGAGGCAGCAGUGGGGAAUAUUGCACAAUGGGCGGAAGCCUGAUGCAGCAACGCCGCGUGCGGGAUGACGGCCUUCGGGUUGUAAACCGCUUUCGCCUGUGACGAAGCGUGAGUGACGGUAAUGGGUAAAGAAGCACCGGCUAACUACGUG